UUACCCAGCUCGUCAGGUGGAACCAGCUUCGAGGUUAUCGAGCGCAUCACGAUGAACGACGUGCCGUUUAUUAUUUCCACCAGCGGCGCUGAAAUUUCACGAGGAUAUGCUUCAAUCGACUUUCAACGUCAUGCAAGCCAGUGUACACGAGUUCGAAGCAUCGAGUCACUUCACUUAUAACAUAUACGGAAGGCAGUAGCGACAAAAGGGCAACAAAACCAGCUGCGGCGACGGCGUCGAGGUUAAAGAUCCGCGUGUGUAUAGCGAUGAUGUAACACGCGCUAUACACUCGCUCUCUCUCUCGCGGGCUUAAGGUCGUUAUAGCGGAAUUGCAUAUCUAUAUGCGCGAGCGCCGCGUAGAAAGUAGAUGCGCCGCCACGGCAUGUGCGCGAUUCGGCGCUGUAGCUACACACUUUUUCCCCUGCCUCGGGAUAAUGUAAGCGCCGGGAAAAGUCUCGCGCGCGCUCGCGUAUAUGGGAAUGUAUGGACAAGAGGGGUGAGAGUGGAAGCGCGUAACUAUGUGUGGGAAGGAGGAAGAUCGUUGCAGGUGUUUUUCUUUUUAUACUGGAAUGCGGUUUGUUUGCGAACGCUGCACGCGAGGCGCGAUUUGAAAACGUGCGACCUUUGAAUUUUUUCGCCUUAUAAAUGCCGAGAGGAGCUGGCUUUUAAGGAAUUUCUCGUAAAUGGUGUGAGCAGUCGAUUUGCGAAAUGAGUUUUCGAUGACUGCGCGCGAGUUCGCUGGAAUCUGAAACGGGGACAAUGCCUAAUCGAUUUGGAAAAGUUCGAGAAACUAAUAUAAUUCUCGUGUGUACCGUGAUUAUAAUGAAAAUAAAUGCUCGUGUACUUAUGUUACACACUCGCUGGUUAUUAUUGUAUACUAUAACAGCUUAUUAUUAUUGGCUUAACGUGGUCGCAAGCUGUAACUGUAGAGAACCGAGCUUAUUGCGCAAAUCGUAGACUUAAAAGUCCCGAGUUCUCCGCGUUUCGACCUCGUCCUUAUUCGGACAUUUUUUUAUUUUUCUUAUUUUUUUUUCGAUCAAAAGCUACGUAAAUAGAAGCUAUGCGUACACCUGCAUCGCAAACCCUACUCGGCAAAGUUGUUUACAUUAGCUCGAAGAAUUUCGAACGCACACACACGCGCAUAAAACACCAUCGAGCCGCGCGCUUGGGAACAUGCCGCGAGCACUUUUACUCGAAAUACAGAACUGCAUUUUCGCGUUAUUUAAACUUGUUUUAUGACGUCGCUUAACGGUUCGCCCCGACGUUUUUUUUUUUCUCCUUAACGCCGGCUUACGUAAUUUCGAACGAUCGAGAUUUUUCGACUGUCGCUUGUAUAUACGCAUAAACUGAUCUCGGCGAAGUUAUUAAUCGAAUCAUGUGCCAAAAAAAAGGAUGCAUAAUCGGCAGCCCUUCUACUUAUAGUUUCGGUGAAAUUCCUCACCGAUCUCAGCUCUCUCUCUCUCUCUCUCUCUCUCUCUCUCUCUCUCUCUCUCUCUCUCUUUCGCGCGCGAGCUCCCAUCGCAAUAAUGGGCCGAAUUAGCAUCUUAAACGGUGCUCGUCGAAAAAUGACAUAUCGCGCGCGUUAUGUGUGAGAAUUUUUCUCGACUCGCAAUUUUUCACGAGAUUACGGUUGUGGCUACGGUUCCGCAAACCGGUUAGUCCGGUCGCAGCGCCGACUGCGCGCGCGCGCACACACACACACAUGCGCGCCUAAGUCGGCACACCUCCUUGUCUCAUCGGGCUGUGGUCGAAAUUACGCCCGGGGACCACCACCGCCGAUUUUUCCUUCCUUUUUUUUUGUUGCCUGCGCGCGAGAGAAAUUUCUGCAGUCGUUCGUUUCUCAAUCGGGAACGAGCUUGAAUCGCGCUUUUUUCGGGGACCCUGCGUAAAGUCAAGUUUUUACGCGAGGAUUUUUCGGAGGACAUUUAUACGUCAGACGAGGCUCUUGCAUUUCUUGAGGGGCUGUUGACCCGCCGCACGUGCGGAUAUUCUCUUGUGGGCUUCAGAUUUUCGUACGGGUUGGAAAAAAUGUCGACGGUGUGCUGUUUUUUGACUGAGUAUAACGAAUGAGUUGGCGAAUCAGUCGUUCAAAUUUGCUCUGCAAAUAAAGCUUUAUCGAAUGCCGAAAAUUUUCCUCUCGCAUCAGAUAAAAUCGUCAUUGACAAUACACAUGCCGACAAUGAGACGAAAACAGUCAAAAAAAUACAACCGCAAAAUCGUGUCCAUCGAGUGUACAAUAUAUAAUAGUCACGUGCAGUGCGUUCGGGUCGCUCCGAGCCAGACCGAGACGGCUCGAGAAAAAAAGGUUCAAGAGCAAGGACUGACACAGUUUCUCUCCCGGCGCUCUCCGUGCUGCCGAUUAUUAAAUUACCUCUCUCUCACUCUCUCUCUCUCUCUCCCUUGGCCGAUGCUUGAAAAAGCCAUUAUUUACAUUGACCCGCUUAUACUGCCCUACCCCCCUCCUUUUUCAAGCGCCGACUCUCUAUAGGCGACUGAUGUAUAGGCGAGCUUUUUUUUCUCUUCCUCGAACGUUUACAAACACACGGAAGGGAAAGUGUGCGCGCAACACAGUUGAAUGACACGUGCCGUCUGUACAUAUUGUGUAAUGGAUCGUAUAAUUGGAGUAUUAUACCAGACUCUCUGAUUUCUAAAUUGAUCGCAGCGGCGGAAAAGGAGAGGAUUGGUUUCGGAGGAUGUUUUUUCGCGCGUGUGCAGCGUGCGUGUAUAAUAUGAGGAGUUUUCUUUUGUCCGCGGAGUGUCCUUGAAGCAUUCAUGCAACGAUUCGUGAGAUUUUUCAAUGAUAUCUGCAGCGACAGUCCUGACGUCAACCCGCAUCAGGCAGCGCAGCGCGUGGCUGCUUUUUCUUUCGAAAUCGACUCUGAUUGACUAGUGGUUAUUGAUUUAUCAAAUUUUAUAAUUUAUAGUCAUUAGCGAGGAUUGCGAGACGCAAUUAGCGCUUCGAUUCGUUAAUCCGCUAAAUUAUAAAGUCCCUGUGUGACAUGUAUAUUAUACGUCGUGCUACUUCAACUCACUUUCGAUAAGUGUAGCGAGACAAAGAUACAGGUGUUCGCAUCGAGUGUAUUUAACAGGCGUCUCGCUCGCAAAAGCAACGUUGCCUUAUCACGAUGACGAGCCGUCGCAAUGAAAGUUCGUCAAAGAACGCAAAGUUCGCGCGCGAGAAGACGUCCGCGUCGCAGUCUCUGUCUCCCGCGAAAUUCACAUCGUCGCCGAUGCAAAUUACCUCCAUACCACGUGCUAUACUCCAUUGUCGCGCAUAUACUCCCGUUAUGAAUUCCAACACACUGCAGCACGUGAGCGAGACAGAGAGAGAGAGAGAGAGAGAGAGAGAGAGAGACAGGAAUUUCGCGGCGACGCGUCUCUCCAGCUCGCAAUUUCAAUCUACGAGACAGAUCCUGCCUGCGCUUAACGAACGCGUCCGCGCGAUAAUUUGAAAUUGGAGCUUGCGCAACUGCAUCGCAAUACUCACCAUACAUAGGGCCGAUGAGCACCAUGACGAUCAGCAUGAGGACCAUGACCCUCUUCCUUCGGUUCCUGGGUCCCUGCUUGAAGGCUACGCGAAAGGUCUCCUGCACGUGCCUCAGCGCGAAGAAAUCGGUAACCGAGGCCCACCAGGUCAGUCUCUUGAGCUCCGAAGCUUGCGCGAGUUUGAUGCUCUUUCUCAGUUCCAGGGCUCGAGGCGCCUCCUUGAUCACGAUCAGGCCGUACAUGAAGCUGAAGACGUAGCAGGCCGCGGCGAUGCCGAAGACCCCGUAGAAGCCGAGCUUGAUGUAGAGGACACCCGAGAGAGCCAUGCCGACCGGUACGCCGAGGCUCAGGAACGAGUUGACGGCGCCGACCCUCACCGUUCUCGACUCGACGCUCGUGAUGUCGCCGAUGUAGCUGAAGGUGCCCAUGAUCAUGGUGAACCAGCCGCCCGUGAGCGCUGGCCAGAGAGCUUCGAAGACACCGGCAGCUUCCAUCGGCAGCUCGUAGAACCAGUAGACGCAGGCUAUCAAGCUUAUGCUGGUGAGGAACUCGCCGACGAUCGGCAGCAUCAUGCAGGGCUUCCUCAAGCCGUUCCUGUCGCUCCACGCGCCCAUGAAGACGAUGAGGAUCGAGGGGAAAAAGCUCUGCAGCGCCGUCUUCCAGGUCUGCAUACUGGCGACCAGCUGUUGCACGGCCGUCUCCUCGAGCUCGAGUCCGCUGGUGUUGCGCGCCGCCAACGCCGCGCAGAUCGCGUCCGAGUAGCCGAGGUUCACCUUGCAAGCCUUCUCCAAAUUCAAGUUCUGAGUCGCCAGAGAGGCGAGGACACUCGGCAUAAUGUAGAACGCGACCAUCGGCUCAACGGUAAUGUUGCGCAGGAUGUAGGAACACUUCUGCCUGAUGCUCAUGGUUUUCCAGCCGAUCGAUGAGGACGUCGACUCGUCGGUGGUGGCUUCCUUCUUGUUGUUGUUGUUCUGCAUCAUCGUGCUGUCAUCGAGCGCCGAGGCGACGACUAUGUUGCAGGCAGCUACCGAGGGCUUGCUGCUGAUGGCAGUCUCCUGCGCCGGUUCCCUCAUUGCCAGACGUUCGCGCUGCGUGUACCGGACGACCAGUCGACAAGAUCAUAUACAAGGCCGAUCGGUGAUGAGGAUGAGGAUCGCCGCCUCAUUGGGCGCGCAGCUCUGCUGCAACAGAUGGGAAUACAGCAUGUAUUUUGCCCCGUAUGGAGAUCGAUGCAAGGCACACCCCCUCCCGGGAGAACAUCGGCGAAAAAAAGCGCGGGAGAAAUCGCAUCUGACCGAGCGAGGAGGAAGCCGGCUUAUGCGCGUACUGCUGCAGCAGCGUGUGAUUGAUGAUUAUUGCGCGCGCGAGCGGCUGAGAAAUGAGCCUAAUAGCGUCAUUAUGCGCUCGUAAAAUUUGGAGAAAAAGGAGCAGCUAGUUUAGGAACUACCGCCGGUGUGUAUAAAUAUUUCGGUUCCGCGGAGAACAAGGUCAGAGUCAUUAUACUGUAUAGACAGCUUUUAUCGGACACCGCGGGCUAAUUGAUUUUUUGGGCAUGAACAUACCUGCUGUAUAUUAGAAAGUUCGGCGUGCACACGAAAUUGAAAAAUCAUUUUUUUCCUUUUCAUCCGCGCGUUAAACAGAUAUUACUCGAAAGUUACGACGUAGUCGGGAGCAAAAAAAGUUUUCAAUCAGCUGGUCUAAUAAGAGUCUCUUUUUUUUUUGCACAACAGUAAAAUAAACGUGAAAAUUUUUUAUAGCGACCUUGCGAUUCGCCCGCGAAACACAAAAGUCUGCGCGAUGGUUUCACCUUCGUCCUCUUUUUUCUUUCUCGAACCUCGUGUACCACUGUGAAUUUUAUCGUUAGGACUAUCAAAUACUGUAACCCGUCGUUUCAGUCGUCGCGCGAUCGUAUAUACGAGUCUUUAUGCAGGAUAGCGCGCUUUCACUCUCGAUCCGGCGCCUGCUCUAUUACGCGGGAAAAAUCGAAAAAAGAUAGCGCGCUCGCGAUGCUGUAUUUUUCAUCGACAACAGGUUUUCGAGGCUUGUCUUUUUCCUUACCGCGUAUGCUAAUCUCGAUGACCUUAUCGCGAAAAUAUUUUUGAGUAUACACUAUAAAGAAUGAGCCAGUUGGAGCUGUUCUAGAUUUUUAUGCUCGUGUCCUCGAAAAGAGCUUGGACGUAUAUAAACAUGCAGAAUUAAUUAUACCGGUGCUGCACGUCAAGACACUCGCACGUGACACGCUGCCGAGUCCGCGCGAGAAUAUCACUUUCACUUUUACCGAAUUAUCGUCGCUCUAUUUUUUCCGUUUCUCUCUCUGUCUUUUUUCUCGAUAAAAAGUAAAAAAAAAAAAAAA